rnacentral:rRNA from 1 species
GACGAACGCUGGCGGCGUGCCUAAUACAUGCAAGUCGAGCGGACUUUCAAGAAGCUUGCUUUUUGAAAGUUAGCGGCGGACGGGUGAGUAACACGUGGGCAACCUGCCUGUAAGACGGGGAUAACUCCGGGAAACCGGGGCUAAUACCGGAUAAUAUCUUUCUUCGCAUGAAGGAAGGUUGAAAGGCGGCCCAAGCUGCCGCUUGCAGAUGGGCCCGCGGCGCAUUAGCUAGUUGGUGGGGUAACGGCUCACCAAGGCGACGAUGCGUAGCCGACCUGAGAGGGUGAUCGGCCACACUGGGACUGAGACACGGCCCAGACUCCUACGGGAGGCAGCAGUAGGGAAUCUUCCGCAAUGGACGAAAGUCUGACGGAGCAACGCCGCGUGAGCGAAGAAGGUCUUCGGAUCGUAAAGCUCUGUUGUCAGGGAAGAACAAGUACCGUUCGAAUAGGGCGGUACCUUGACGGUACCUGACCAGAAAGCCACGGCUAACUACGUGCCAGCCGCCGCGGUAA